CUUUACUAUAUCGUGUCUAGUUAAUCUCUAAUUCAUUUCCCGAAUCGAGCCGUUGGUCCUUAUACUUUCAGGAUCAAUUAUACAAACAAAUACUACACGCGAUUACAUAAAGAAUAUUGACCAGGUUCGAUUCCCGGUUAUGUAUCAUAUGAAAAUUUAAAAAAAGUUUGAAUGACAUUAUUAUUAAAUCUAAAAUCGACGCCAUGGUUCCUAAGAACAGAUUUCGCUAUCUCUCAUAGUUUCUGACUUCCCCAUACUGACUCAUUUGGAUUGAUCACCCUGUAUAUGGAAUCCUUAUCGAAUCGUAAGCCAAAUUCGGCAUGAUCUUUUGCUAAAGAUUCAUUUGGGAAAUGAAACUACUGCGAUAAGUUUGUAGAGAAGUGAAAUUUGGCGAAGAGUAUUUGGCCCAAAGGGAAGUAGGUACAUACAUACAUACACCGGCAGUAUGAGAUGUAUUUACGGAUGUUGGCAUCAUGUGUUGCCUGCUGAAGCUCACAGUGGGGCCCUCGGUUAAUUUCUACAAUUUAAAGUAGGUACCAGCACUGAUUUCACAAUACAUAUUUGUUUAUUUAUUUGCAGGUUGGUCUAUUAUGCAUAUAGGAGAAUGUAAUAUAGAGACGCCAUUAUUUCGUACUUGGGCCAGUCAAGACGGUUUCUAUUCCUCGCUGUCUAUGUAUCAAAUAGUCAGCGAGGCCAAAUAUUUCGAUGAUGUAAUGAAACAGAUCAAGAAAGAGGAACAAUAUUAUGGAUAAUUGAACACGAAACAGUUACCUACGUUAGUUAGACAAGAAUUUAAAAUUACUGUUGUAGUAAUCGGGUUUCACAAAUAAUUCCCUUUUCGUAGCCAACUCACUAUUUUUUGUGAUUAGGUACCUACCUACCUAAUCACAAAAAAAUCUUACAUCGGAGUUACCUACGUUAGUGAGUUGGCUACGAAAAGGGAAUUAUUUGUGAAACCCGAUUACUAAAACAGUAAUUUUAAAUUCUUGUUUGAUAAUUAAUGUGUCGGCAAAAUAAGAUAAGAUGGUCUAUUGACUAAAUUGAGGCCCAGGUGCGCUUCAGACCAGAUGGCGCCACCUAACGGAACUUCGGAGCGGUGCGGCGACAAGUAGUGGGAAGGCAUAAAAACCGGUCCACUGCACCCGCGCCGGCAUUCUGUUGCGAACCUCCGACGGAUCGUUGUGCCUCUAGUGAUUUACUUAGAAUAUUUCUAGUUAAUUAUUGUUGUUGUUAAUUAUUGAAAGUAAUUAACGUGUUAUUUGUUUUGAUAAAUACACCGCAUAUUAAAAGUG